ACAUGCCUAUAACAUAGCGCUAAUGCACCAGAUCCCAUUAGAACUCUACAGUUAAGCGCGCUCAGGCUAGAGUAGUAUUGGGAUGGGUGGCCUCCUGGGAAUUCCUAGUGUUUUACAUGCC
rnacentral:rRNA from 1 species